GAGUUUGAUCCUGGCUCAGGGACGAACGCUGGCGGCGUGCCUAAAACAUGCAAGUCGAACGAGGUCCAUCUGACCGUAAGGUCAGGGAAGACCUAGUGGCGAACGGGUGAGUAACACGUGAGGAACCUGCCCCGAAGUCUGGGAUAAGCUGGGGAAACCUGGUCUAAUACCGGAUCCCCUCUACGGAUCGCAUGGUCUGUUGAGGAAAGAAUUUCGCUUCGGGAGGGCCUCGCGGCCUAUCAGCUAGUUGGUGGGGUAACGGCCCACCAAGGCAUCGACGGGUAGCUGGUCUGAGAGGACGAUCAGCCACACUGGGACUGAGACACGGCCCAGACUCCUACGGGAGGCAGCAGUUAGGAAUCUUGCGCAAUGGGCGAAAGCCUGACGCAGCAACGCCGCGUGCGGGAGGAAGGCCCUCGGGUUGUAAACCGCUUUCAGUAGGGACGAAAUCAGACGGUACCUACAGAAGAAGCCCCGGCCAACUACGUGCCAGCAGCCGCGGUAACACGUAGGGGGCGAGCGUUGUCCGGAUUUAUUGGGCGUAAAGAGCUCGUAGGCGGCUUGGUAAGUCAGGUGUGAAACCUCCAGGCUCAACCUGGAGACGCCACUUGAUACUGCCAUAGCUAGAGUCCGGUAGGGGAGCGUGGAAUUUCUGGUGUAGCGGUGAAAUGCGCAGAUAUCAGAAGGAACACCAGCGGCGAAGGCGGCGCUCUGGGCCGGAACUGACGCUGAGGAGCGAAAGCGUGGGUAGCAAACAGGAUUAGAUACCCUGGUAGUCCACGCCGUAAACGUUGGGCACUAGGUGUGGGACCCUGUCAACGGGUUCCGUGCCGUAGCUAACGCAUUAAGUGCCCCGCCUGGGGAGUACGGCCGCAAGGCUAAAACUCAAAGGAAUUGACGGGGACCCGCACAAGCGGUGGAUGAUGUGGAUUAAUUCGAUGCAACGCGAAAAACCUUACCUACCCUUGACAUGUCUGGAAUGCCGAAGAGAUUUGGCAGUGCUCGCAAGAGAACCGGAACACAGGUGCUGCAUGGCUGUCGUCAGCUCGUGUCGUGAGAUGUUGGGUUAAGUCCCGCAACGAGCGCAACCCUUGUCAUUAGUUGCUACGAAAGGGCACUCUAAUGAGACUGCCGGUGACAAACCGGAGGAAGGUGGGGAUGACGUCAAGUCCUCAUGGCCCUUAUAGGUGGGGCUACACACGUCAUACAAUGGCUGGUACAAAGGGUUGCCAACCCGCGAGGGGGAGCUAAUCCCAUAAAGCCAGUCGUAGUCCGGAUCGCAGUCUGCAACUCGACUGCGUGAAGUCGGAAUCGCUGGUAAUCGUGGAUCAGAAUGUCACGGUGAAUACGUUCCCGGGUCAUGUACACACCGCCCGUCACACCAUGGGAGCGGGUCUCGCCAGAAGUAGGUAGCCUAACCGCAAGGAGGGCGCUUACCACGGCGGGGUUCGUGACUGGGGUGAAGUCGUAACAAGGUAGCCGUAUCGGAAGGUGCGGCUGGAUCACCUCCUUUCU
rnacentral:rRNA from 1 species